rnacentral:lncRNA from 1 species
UUUUUUUAUUAAAAUAAUAUCUUUAUUGCACUUUUCUUUGCUGUUGUAACAAAUUACUCGACCUAAAGCAGUUGGCCGAAUAUCCCUGUGUAUUAGUCACUGGAUAACCAGGGAAUUUAUUCAGUGAAUUCAUAUUUAUAGAUAGUUAGUUUUACAGUUCAUGGUUAUUACAUGUAUACAUUUUGCAAAAUAAAAUUGUUCCAUGAUUACGGAAAGUGUACAGUAUUGUCCGGUUCUGUUUCUAAAGAUUAAAACUUUAUGAUCAUUGAC